rnacentral:misc_RNA from 1 species
CACUCAACCAAUCAAUAACGAUCCAAAGAUUUUAACAUUCCAAUCAAUCUCAGAAUCCAACAGUCAUUCUCAAUUUCGAAGCAUUGUACAUUUUAAUUUCCAUUGCAUUGAAGACAAUGUCCAUACUCUAGUAGUAUAUGGAAUCUACUUACGGUGUUAAAAUUAAUGAAGAAAUCAGAGCUCCAAACUUGGUUAAUGAACACCCUUAGAUGUCGUUAAGGACCUGCAGAUGAUUUUCUUCUCUUGUGUCCUCUCCAUGAAACCCAGCACCAUCAAAUAGACCCACACAGACCCGCUUUAUAAUCAACUGCCGAAAUCUCUUUGAAAAAGCACCUACAUGCAACACAACUAUAGCACAAGGAGUUAAAGGACUUAGAAGCAUCGGAAAUGCAACAGCCUAUAUAUAAUCCUCUUCUUGCCUCCACCGGCUAUGCUACAUAUGAAAAAUAUCUACAAACUCACUCGAUGUAGAGAAGGGAUCCACGAACCGAGCAAGAGGAGGGCAACAGGUAAAAGAAACAGAGAAAUUUCUC